CUCACCUGGGGUUAAAAUACUGACCAAGCCAUCUGCCCAGAGGUGGCUUCUCAGGCUCCAGGCUGCUUCCUGCCCCGGAAGGGCCUCCAUGUCUCCUCGGUGACUGAGUACCACAGCUGGGGCAGGGGGAGCAGCGUGAGGACUAGAUUAUUCGGAAGGAGAAGCAAGCAUGGGAAAGCAGCAAGGAGGCGACUGCAGUGAUCCAGGCAAGAGGUGCGCGGAGCAAAGACUGUCCACUAGAGGAAUCCUGAAUUAGGUGGAAAUGGCUGACCUUACACCAUAGCUGGCUCAGUCAAGGGCCGGAACCAUCAACUCAAAAGCCAAGGUUCAAGAGAAUGAGAAGACAAACCACAGAUGAGAAAACACUUGCAAAAUACAGAUUUCAGGAAGGACUGGCAUCCAAAAUAUACAAAGAACUCUUAAAACUCAAUAAUAAGUUGAUUUAUAAAAAAUGGGCCAAAGACCUAAACAGACACCUCACUAAAGAAAAUAUACAGUUGGCAAAUAAGCAUAUGAAGAGAUACUUCACAUCAUAUGUCAUUGGGGUACUUCAAGUUCAAACAACAAUGGAAUGGCCCAAAUCCAGAACGCUGACAACACCAAACGCUGGUGAGAAUGUGGAGCAACAGGAACUCUCAUUCAUUGUUGUUGGGAAUCAAAAUGGUACAGCCACUUUGGUGUUUUUUUAAAUAAAACUAAACAUACUCUUCCCACACGAUUUAGCCAUCACACUCCUUAGUAUUUACCCAAGGGAGCUGAAACUUAUGUUUACACAAAAACCUGUACACAGAUGCUUAUAGCAGCUUUAUUCAUAGCCAAAUCUUGGAAGAAACCAAGAUGUCUUUCAAUAGGUGAAUGGGUAAAUAAACUGUCGUACAUCCAGACAAUGGAAUAUCAUUCAGCACUAAAAAAAGAAAUGAGCUUUCAAGCCCUGAAAAGACCCGGAGGAAUCUUUUUUUUUUUUUUUUUUAAAGGUAGGAUUUCUUACAUUCACCUUUUCUUAAAAAAAAUAGAUUUAUUUAUUUAAUUUUUGGCCGCGUUGGGUCUUCGUUGCCGCGCGCAGGCUUUUCUCUAGCUGUGGUGAGUGGGGGCUACUCUUCGUUGUGGUACGCGGGCUUCUUAUUGCAGUGGCUUCUCUUGUUGCAGAGCACGGGCUCUAGGCGUGCGGGCUUUGGUAGUUGUGGCACGUGGGCUUCAGUAGUUGUGGCUCGCAUGCUCUAGAGUGCAGGCUCAGUAGUUGUGGCACACGGGCUUAGUGGCUUCGCGGCAUGUGGGGUCUUCCUGGACCAGGGCUCGAACCCGUGUCUCCUGCAUUGGCAGGCGGAUUCUCAACCACUGCGCCACCAGGGAAGCCCUGGAGGAAUCUUAAAUGCAUAUUACUAAGUGAAAGAAGCCAAUCUGAAAAGGCUACUGUAUGAUUUUAGCUCUAUGACAUUCUGGAAAAGGCAAAACUAUGGAGAUGAUAAAAAGAUCAAUGGUUGCCAAGGGUUAGUUGGAAGGGAGAGAGGAAUAGGCAGAGCACAGAGGAUUUUCAGAGCAGUGAACCUCUUCUGUGUGAUACUACAGUGGUGCGUAUUUGUCCAAAUACAUAGAAUGUACAACAUAAGAGUGAACCCUAGUGUGAACUAUGGACUUUGGGUGAUAAUGAUGUAUCAGUGUAGGUUCAUUGAUUGUAACAAGUGUACCAUUCUGGUGGGGAUGUUGAUGGUUGGGAGGAGGCUGUGUGUGAGUGGGCACAGGAGCACAUAAGAACCCUGUGUACUUUCUGCUCAAUUUUGCUGUGAACCUAUAAAUGCUCUUUAAAAAAAAAGUCUGUUAAAAAAGAAAGGAAGUAAGGAAGAAGGAAAGAAAAAACAAAUCCUCAGACUUUUUCCCUGGGCUGCUCCCUUCUCCUCUCUCCCCACCCUCAUCCUUUCCUUCUGCUGUGCAAGUGUUUUCUGACUUCCUCACAGGAGGACAUGUUUGCUAGGCAUGUCUGUCUGUCUGUCCUUCUCUUUUACGUUUUGGCUUGAGCCUUUGUUACAGAAUUUCCCACUCAGGGGCCAGGCUGAGCUGGAGAUUUUUCAUCUCUGCAGUUCCUCUGCCAACCUUGCAGGCCCCCAUUCCAGCUUCCUCCCAACCCAACGAAUUUCUAGAAAGAAUUCACCAACAAAUGACAGCUGUGAUCCGCUCUGUAAGCCCUGUCCUGGUGUAAAUAUGUCCCCUGACACCCAGCACAGGAGAAGAAAAUUCAAGAGUGGAGAGAGAAGAAAAUCCUGGAUGUCUCAUUAGCAGCACCUCCUACCAAGCUUAAUCUCACCUCCUACCAAGCUUAAUCUCACCUCCUUUGGUGUCAGAGAGAAGCAAGAGAAAGACGUCUUCCCUCUCUGUCUCCAGGGAUGGACUUGAGGGGAGUCCACAGACUGUGUGCUGCAUUUCCAUUUCCCAGGCUGUGAUUAAAACUUCCAGAGGCACCAAGUUUCGAGAAGAUUAGGCCAUCUCCACCUCCCUGAGCAGUACAAAAUAAAUCAAUACUAAGCCACAAAAUAAGUGUGAGGAAGCCCUUUAACGUUUUCAAUUCUCCUAUGAUGACUAUUUUGAAGUUUUGUAUUUUUUGAAAUAUAAAAUGCAA